rnacentral:lncRNA from 1 species
UAGCCUCCUGAGUAGCUAGGAAUAAAGGCAUUCACCACCACGCCAGCUAAUUUGUGUAUUUUUUUAAUACAGGUGGCGUUUUGCCAUGUUGCCCAGGCUGGUCUUGAACUCCUGACCUCAAAUGAUCCUCCCACCUCGGCCUCCCUAAGUGUUGGCAUUACAGGCAUAAGCCACCAUGCUUGGCCUGAUUCUGUUUUUUAACACAAUUCUUAUUACUUCUGUUUCAAUUUUACAAAGCCAUAGGUUUUUAAUCUGGGAAACCUUUGAGAAAACAUCCAGAUAAAUUUAUAAAUAGAAAAAUAAAUUCAGACACAUAUAAUUAAGUUUAUGAUCUAACAAGUGGGUGACAACCGAAAACUUUCCAAGUUCCAUAAACUGAAGUGAAAGGAUCACUUUCCUGAAAAUAUUACAAAGGCUUGAUAAUUACCUGGAUUGUACUAAAACCUACACAAUCUAGUAUAUUCUAUAGCAGCAAUUCAUAAAGACAGCUUCACUUACCAUGUAGAAUUUAUACAUACAUUAAAUUUAAGGAAUGCAUUACUUGCUAUUGGAGUAGGAUAAUAAACUCCCAGCAGAACUGAUUUUCAUGAAUGCCUAUUAAACUAUCAUUGAUGUAGAAAUUAAACAAUAUAUUAAGCUAUUCAGACCCAGAUUGUGAGAGACAGAGAAAAACUUCAAAAAAGUUCAGCUACCAAAUCCCUUCCUCAAUAGCUCUUUGAGUCUCAAGACAGUUUCAACCACACACAUCCUCAGAGUCUUAUGGUCCAAACAACAUUUGACUGCAGCUCUAAAGUAAGCAAACAUUUGAAAAGAAACUCAAAGAUCUAUACCUGUAGUUAUGGUCAAGGAAGUCCACCUACUGGUGGGUGAGCAUGGCAAGGAUAGGGACUAAGCCAAAUGAUGGGUUUACCAAAACAGAAACAAGAGAAGUCAUUGGAAGCACAGUCCAGGUUAUAACAGGAGCCCAGGCACUUGAUGUGGGAACCCUAUUUGUCUCAUUCAGCACCUAGAGUUUUAACGUCCUAUGAGGCACAGCUAAUGCCCUUCAUUAUUUUUUUGUAAUUGACUGCAUAGUUUAGAACUAUGCCUUGAAUUUAAUAUCUAUCUGUUGAAUAAAUGAAUUAAUAAUGAUGAAAAUCUGUCCACAGGUUAUGUGCAGUACUGAAGAGCAACUUCAGCUAUUGAGGUAUGUAUCAGAAGUCUUACUCUCCAAAAAGCCUCUGUUACACCUCAAUGCAACCUGCUGGCAGGCCAGCCUUAAGCCCAGCAGUCCAACCAUGCAUCUAAGCUGAGUUCUCAUCAGAGCCAACUUCAAUUAUAAACAACUGAGAUGAUGCCAGAGGCCAGAAUCCCUGAGAACCCAAUUUGCUGUCAUCACCACAGCUGAAACAAGGCGCUUGGCAUCUAGAAAAGCUGAUCUGUAGGAAAUUUCCAAUAGAGUUCAAGUUUUUCUAAGUUUAAAGUGUACAAUAUCAUCAAGGUGAGACACUCAAGAUAAAACUAGGCUUGUGUUUAAAUAUAAUAAAAAUAUUUGAAGAAUAGUAAGAGUGGUGACUACUUUUACACAGGAAUGUUUCAAAUAAAUUGUUUUUUUCUUGUGCCUUUUAAAUUUUGUGAUUUGUCAAUGAGAUGCUGACAUGUUUUUAAUGAAGCAUGCCUUGUAAAAUAAUAAGUGAAUGAAAACUACACAGUAAUAUUUACAUCAACAAAGCUAGAAGAAGACUGUAUGUCUCAAGAGGCUCCAUCAUCUACCCAGUGGCCACUUCACCAAAUUAAGAUCCAAAUACCAAAAAGAAAAGUAAUUAAAAUUUGUGUUGUAUGCCUUAUAAGACCAAACCUAUAAAAUGAGGGGAAACUUCACAAUUACUUGUAAUUUGCUCUGUGGAAUUGUAACAGAUGGAUUAUAAAGAUGAUUCCAUGAUAAACAUGUAAAUGUGGUUACUACCUUCUGUGCUUUCUUGGUUCAUAUUUUUAUUGUUUUUUUCUUUAUAAACAGAUAAUUCAUUCUUAUCUAUGGCAAUGCAAACUUUUCAGAUGUAUUGAAUAUGUCAUAGUGUUUUUCUAUUGUAGGCAUCUCUAAAAAAGUUAUAGAAAACAAACAGAGAAAAGUCUGGUGUUGGAAAGGAGAGAGAAAUAAAGCUUGUAAAGGAAUGAAGAUUAGAGCUUUCUGGAGAUAAAAAUUCUUAGAAGAUACAAAAGCUAGUUACUGAAUUAGAUGAAGGUUCUUUUUCAGUUUUUCCCAGUUGUUCACCUCUUAGAAGGCACAUAUUCACAGCAGAAAAGAAAAAUGUGUUAAAAAGAAAAUACCUCGGUGUAGUGAGACUGUAAUUUCAUGAGGGCAUUACUGAAGACUCACUUUUUCCAGCAUCACUCAGCAUGGUAUUAUGCAUGUGUGUAAUGUAAAGGAAAGUGAAUACGCAUUCUUGGAUGGGUGAUCAAAUCGUAAUUCCAGAAUAUAAUCAGAAGCUGAUUCAUUAUCCUCUUGAGAUUUCACAAUCUUUUCAUCAGGAAUUAAAAUUCAGAAGAGGGUAAAUGUA